rnacentral:rRNA from 1 species
CCGUUGAAAGACGGUUUCCUCUUCGGAGGCACCUGCACAGGUGCUGCAUGGCUGUCGUCAGCUCGUGUCGUGAGAUGUUGGGUUAAGUCCCGCAACGAGCGCAACCCUUAUCCCUAGUUGCCAUCAGGUAAAGCUGGGAACUCUGGGGAGACUGCCGGUGAUAAACCGGAGGAAGGCGGGGGAUGACGUCAAGUCCUCAUGGCCCUUACAUCCCGGGCUACACACGUGCUACAAUGGCAGGUACAGAGGGCUGCGAAGCCGCGAGGUGGAGCGAAUCCCAGAAAACCUGUCUCAGUCCGGAUUGAAGUCUGCAACUCGACUUCAUGAAGGCGGAAUCGCUAGUAACCGCGAAUCAGCAGGUCGCGGUGAAUACGUUCCCGGGCCUU